UGUGAUAAUGGUACUUCAUCUGGCUCCAGAUUGACUGCAACUUAACUAAGUCUGUGCUCCCAGCUCCUCAAAAAAAAAAGAAAAAGAUUCAAGUGCUGAUCAUACCGCCAAGUGGAGGAACAUUUUUCGGAAUGCUGCGGAAAACAAAAGGCCGGUGUUUUGAGGGAAAAACGCCAAGAAUGAAUCUCAUUUCCCGUGGCCACAGCAGCAGCGGCGGCGGUCUGGGAAGUGGCCAAGUGACUCUAGGCCUGGCUAAAUGGGAACUUCGCACCGUGCCACUUACAGAAAAUAUGUGGUAAUUAUGCUGCCAGUUACAGACAAACAAACAGAACCGCCACGGAAUCAGCCGGGAGACGGAUGCGGAGUCCGGGUUUGGUGGACAGAACACAAUGUUGUAAAUUGUGCAGUUGUCGAGUGGAUUCUAUUAAUUGUUCGGUUAAACGUGAAUUUUCACCGGAACCGCUGGCAAGUUUUUUUUUUUCAUACUCAAAGUCAGAGAAAAAGGGACUGGCGGCCAAGAGACGACGGCAUUGGGACUUUGAGACCUGCAGCUCGUUAUACCCAUUGAAUUGUUGAAGUUAAAAGUCAGGUCUGUGCUCCCAGCUCCUCAAAAAAAAAAGAAAAAGAUUCAAGUGCUGAUCAUACCGCCAAGUGGAGGAACAUUUUUCGGAAUGCUGCGGAAAACAAAAGGCCGGUGUUUUGAGGGAAAAACGCCAAGAAUGAAUCUCAUUUCCCGUGGCCACAGCAGCAGCGGCGGCGGUCUGGGAAGUGGCCAAGUGACUCUAGGCCUGGCUAAAUGGGAACUUCGCACCGUGCCACUUACAGAAAAUAUGUGGUAAUUAUGCUGCCAGUUACAGACAAACAAACAGAACCGCCACGGAAUCAGCCGGGAGACGGAUGCGGAGUCCGGGUUUGGUGGACAGAACACAAUGUUGUAAAUUGUGCAGUUGUCGAGUGGAUUCUAUUAAUUGUUCGGUUAAACGUGAAUUUUCACCGGAACCGCUGGCAAGUUUUUUUUUUUCAUACUCAAAGUCAGAGAAAAAGGGACUGGCGGCCAAGAGACGACGGCAUUGGGACUUUGAGACCUGCAGCUCGUUAUACCCAUUGAAUUGUUGAAGUUAAAAGUCAGAAUUCGACUGUAUGAUUCGACAUUAUGAUGAUUUUUAAAUGUGCAAUCCAUCUGGAUGUCCAGGAAGGAACCAAAUCGAUGCUACCAUGAUAAAUCUAAUUGAAGACACCAUGGAUACAUACUCUACACUGGAAGGAAUUAUGCAUCGAUGAAAAAUGAUAACAGUGUCUCAUCUACUAAGGUUCUAACAUCCCCGGAACGAAGUGAGUGCU